UACGAAGGGGGCUAGCGUUGUUCGGAAUUACUGGGCGUAAAGCGUGCGCAGGCGGCUUUCCAAGUCAGUGGUGAAAGCCUGGAGCUCAACUCCGGAAAUGCCAUUGAAACUGUGAAGCUUGAGAACGAGAGAGGUGAGUGGAAUUCCCAGUGUAGAGGUGAAAUUCGUAGAUAUUGGGAAGAACACCAGUGGCGAAGGCGGCUCACUGGCUCGUAACUGACGCUCAUGCACGACAGCGUGGGGAUCAAACAGG
rnacentral:rRNA from 1 species